CAGCAGCCGCGGGAAUACGAAGGGGGCUAGCGUUGCUCGGAAUGACUGGGCGUAAAGGGCGCGUAGGCGGUUUUGACAGUCAGAUGUGAAAUUCCUGGGCUUAACCUGGGGGCUGCAUUUGAGACGUCAGACUAGAGUGUGAGAGAGGGUUGUGGAAUUCCCAGUGUAGAGGUGAAAUUCGUAGAUAUUGGGAAGAACACCGGUGGCGAAGGCGGCAACCUGGCUCAUUACUGACGCUGAGGCGCGAAAGCGUGGGGAGCAAACAGGAUUAGAGACCCCUGUAGUCCCUGUCUCUUAUACA
rnacentral:rRNA from 1 species